UACAGAGGUCCCAAGCGUUGUUCGGAUUUACUGGGCGUAAAGGGUGCGUAGGUGGCAGCGCAAGUCUGGCGUGAAAUCUCCGAGCUUAACUCGGAAAUGGCGUUGGAAACUGCAUUGCUAGAGGGUUGGAGGGGGGACUGGAAUACUUGGUGUAGCAGUGAAAUGCGUAGAUAUCAAGUGGAACACCAGUGGCGAAGGCGAGUCCCUGGACAACUCCUGACACUGAGGCACGAAAGCUAGGGGAGCAAACAGG
rnacentral:rRNA from 1 species